GUGCCACCUGUGCAACAUCCCCACAUGGCCCGGGGUGAGGGCUGCGCUCGGGCCGCGCGCUGCCAAAUUCCCACGAAACGGACCCAACUCACAAAGGUCGGAGAAUGCGGCCUAACGCGCGCCCCCGACCCACCUUUGCCCGAAUUCCACUUGUUCUGAGGACUGGAAUGAGGAAACCAUGAGAGAAAAAUAAACACCAGCAAGAGUACUGCACCCUGCUCUCUCCCGGCAGCACUUGGCACAGGAUUACAGAACCUCGUUAGGUCAUCAAACGCUGUAAGGAAAACCCCUGCAGAUUUCGAUUUAUAAGUCCUCACUGUACGCUCUGAAAAGAAUAUGUAUUCUUCGAGAAACACAAAGGCAGUGUUGAAACGAAUGGCUAACUGGAAAGAAAGCCUAUUGUUUCUCCUUCAAAGAAAAGAAGCCGCAGUAAUAUUUAAAGUGCCCUAGUGCCAUACAAUUACACAGAAAUACACUAAUAGUGGCAGAGAGUAUCCUGACGUAGAGUACACAGAAAUGCCAAAAAGCAAAACCUGCCUUAACACCAUCAAGUUCCUUUCAUGAAAUGUGCACUUUUAAAAAAUUUGUAAACAAAUAGAUGGGUGAGAAAAGAGGAAAUGAAAUUUCUUCUUUUAUGGAAUUAUUCUUUUGGUUUCUAAUCUUCUCAUGAAAUGAAAUGGAUUUCAAUAUGUGUGAGCCCAAAAAUAUGUUAAUGGACUUUACCUGCAUUAAGCCUCUCAGGCUAAUAUUAUUGAUUAGGAUAAAAACAUAAAACAAUAACAUCAUGAAAAGAAAGUCAGUUAUGAUUUCCCGUCUCAGUUAAGAGAACUAUCAUGUCAUCAUAACUUGGUGAAUAUAAUAUGGAAUUAAGCCAGCAUAUUUUAA